GCAAAUCCCGAGAGCGAGCAGUGCCCAAAGCGAGCAUUCCCCGGUACCGAACCAAAAAACCGAACUCAUCCCGGCCUUUCCCCGGUACCGGAACCGACGCGAUCCGAACCCUCCCGGUGUCCCCUCGCCAUGCGGCCCGCUACCCCCGCCACGCUGCCCGGUACCCCUGGGGCGGCUCCGCGGUAAAACCGGGGUGGUUCCGGUAAAACCGGGUCGGUUCCGGUAAAACCGGGUCGAUUCCCGCUAAAACCGGGGCGGUUCCGGUAAAACCGGGUCGAUUCCCGGUAACACCGGUUGUCUAUUCCCGUUCCCCCGGUUGUUUCCCAUUCCCCGGUUGUCUCUGGUUCCCGGCUGUCUCUGUUCCCCGGUCAUCUCCCGGUUCCCCGGCUGUCCCGGUUCCCGGUUCCCGGUUCCCCGUUCCCCGGCUGUCUCCGUUCCCCGGUCAUCUCCCGUUCCCCGGCUCCCCCGUUCCCCGGCUGUCCCGGUUCCCGGUUCCCCGUUCCCCGGCUGUCCCGGUUCCCGGUUCCC
rnacentral:lncRNA from 1 species